rnacentral:rRNA from 1 species
UACAGAGGUCUCAAGCGUUGUUCGGAUUCAUUGGGCGUAAAGGGUGCGUAGGCGGCGCGGUAAGUCGGGUGUGAAAUCUUGGAGCUUAACUCCGAAACUGCAUUCGAUACUGCCGUGCUUGAGGACUGGAGAGGAGACUGGAAUUUACGGUGUAGCGGUGAAAUGCGUAGAUAUCGUAAGGAAGACCAGUGGCGAAGGCGGGUCUCUGGACAGUUCCUGACGCUGGAGGCACGAAGGCCUAGGGGAGCAAACGGG